GAUGAACGCUGGCGGCGUGCCUAAUACAUGCAAGUCGAACGCGCAGCGAGAGGUGCUUGCACCUUUCAAGCGAGUGGCGAACGGGUGAGUAACACGUGGAUAACCUGCCUCAAGGCUGGGGAUAACAUUUGGAAACAGAUGCUAAUACCGAAUAAAACUUAGUAUCGCAUGAUAUAAAGUUAAAAGGCGCUACGGCGUCACCUAGAGAUGGAUCCGCGGUGCAUUAGUUAGUUGGUGGGGUAAAGGCUUACCAAGACAAUGAUGCAUAGCCGAGUUGAGAGACUGAUCGGCCACAUUGGGACUGAGACACGGCCCAAACUCCUACGGGAGGCUGCAGUAGGGAAUCUUCCACAAUGGGCGCAAGCCUGAGGGAGCAACGCCGCGUGUGUGAUGAAGGCUUUCGGGUCGUAAAGCACUGUUGUAUGGGAAGAAAUGCUAAAAUAGGGAAUGAUUUUAGUUUGACGGUACCAUACCAGAAAGGGACGGCUAAAUACGUGCCAGCAGCCGCCGUAA
rnacentral:rRNA from 1 species